UACGAAGGGGGCUAGCGUUGCUCGGAAUCACUGGGCGUAAAGGGUGCGUAGGCGGGUUUUCAAGUCAGUGGUGAAAGCCCGGAGCUCAACUCCGGAACUGCCAUUGAAACUGUGAAACUUGAGGAUGAGAGAGGUGAGUGGAAUUCCCAGUGUAGAGGUGAAAUUCGUAGAUAUUGGGAAGAACACCGGUGGCGAAGGCGGCUCACUGGCUCAUUUCUGACGCUCAGGCGCGACAGCGUGGGGAUCAAACAGG
rnacentral:rRNA from 1 species